AUUGAACGCUGGCGGCAGGCCUAACACAUGCAAGUCGAACGCGUGCCGCACGGGUGAGUAAUGUCUGGGAAACUUUCCGCUGGAGGGGGAUAACAACUGUAAAAGGUAUCUCAUAACGCAUACCAUCAGCUAUUUCCAGAUGGGAUUAGCGAGUUGGUGUGGUAACGUCUCACCAAGGCGACGAUCCCUAGCUGGUCUGAGAGGAUGACCAGCAAUACUGGAACUGAGACACGGUCCAGACUCCUACGGGAGGCAGCAGUGGGGAAUAUUGCACAAUGGGGGCAAGCCUGAUGCAGCCAUGCAGCGUGUAUGAAGAAGGCCUUCGGGUUGUAAAGUACUUUCAGCGGGGAGGCGUUACCCGCAGAAGAAGCACCGGCUAACUCCGUGCCAGCAGCCGCGGUAAUAC
rnacentral:rRNA from 1 species